rnacentral:rRNA from 1 species
GACGUAGGGCGCAAGCGUUGUCCGGAUUUAUUGGGCGUAAAGAGCUCGUAGGCGGCUUGUCGCGUCGACUGUGAAAACCCGUGGCUCAACCAUGUGGUCUGCAGUCGAUACGGGCAGGCUAGAAUUCGGUAGGGGAGACUGGAAUUCUCGGUGUAGCGGUGAAAUGCGUAGAUAUCGAGAGGAACACCUGCGGCGAAGGCGGGUUGCUGGGCCGACACUGACGCUGAUGCGCGAAAGCCAGGGGAGCGAACGGG